rnacentral:rRNA from 2 species
UCUCCAGGGCGACGAUGCGUAGCCGCCCUGAGAGGGUGUUCGGCCACACUGGGACUGAGACACGGCCCAGACUCCUACGGGAGGCACCGGUAGGGGAUCUUCCCCAAUGGACGAAAGUCCGGACGGAGCAACGCCGGCGUGAGUGAUGAAGGCCUUCGGGUCCGUAAAACUCUGUUGGUAGGGAAGGAAACCAAGUCCCAGUUGAAUAAGCGGGCACCUUGACGGUACCUUACCAGAAAGCCACGGCUAACUACGUGCCACCAGCCGCGGUAAUACGUAGGUGGCAAGCGUUAUCCGGAAUUAUUGGGCGUAAAGCGCGCGCAGGUGGUUUCUUAAGUCUGAUGUGAAAGCCCACGGCUCACCCGUGGAGGGUCAUUGGAAACUGGGGAGACUUGAGUGCAGAAAGGGGAAAAAGUGGAAUUCCAUGUGUAGCGGUGAAAUGCGUAGAGAUAUGGAGGAACACCCAGUGGCGAAGGCGACUUUCUGGUCUGUAACUGACACUGAGGGCGCGAAAGCGUGGGGAGCAAACAGGAUUAGAUACCCGGGUAGUCCACGCCGUAAACGAUGAGUGCUAAGUGUUAGAGGGUUUCCGCCCUUUAGUGCUGAAGUUAACGCAUUAGGCCACUCCGCCUGGGAGAGUACGGCCGCAAGGCUAGACACUCAAAGGGAUUUGACGGGGGCCCGCACAAGCGGGUGGAGCAUGUGGUUUAUUUCGAAGCAACGCGAAGAUCCUUCCCAGUGUCUUGACAUCCUCUGAACACUCGUAGAGAUAGAGCUUCUCCUUCGGGAGCCGCACGUGACAGGUGGUGCAUGGUUGUCGCCAGCUUCGUGUCGUGAGAUGUUGGGUUAGGUUCCGCACCGAGCGCAACCCUUGAUCUUACUUGCCAUCAUUAA